rnacentral:rRNA from 1 species
UGGGGAAUAUUGCACAAUGGGCGCAAGCCUGAUGCAGCCAUGCCGCGUGUAUGAAGAAGGCCUUCGGGUUGUAAAGUACUUUCAGCGGGGAGGAAGGGAGUAACGUUAAUACCUUUGCUCAUUGACGUUACCCGCAGAAGAAGCACCGGCUAACUCCGUGCCAGCAGCCGCGGUAAUACGGAGGGUGCAAGCGUUAAUCGGAAUUACUGGGCGUAAAGCGCACGCAGGCGGUUGAUUGAGUCAGAUGUGAAAUCCCCGGGCUUAACCCGGGAAUUGCAUCUGAUACUGGUCAGCUAGAGUCUUGUAGAGGGGGGUAGAAUUCCAUGUGUAGCGGUGAAAUGCGUAGAGAUGUGGAGGAAUACCGGUGGCGAAGGCGGCCCCCUGGACAAAGACUGACGCUCAGGUGCGAAAGCGUGGGGAGCAAACAGG